AACGUAGGACACAAGCGUUAUCCGGAGUUACUGGGCGUAAAGGGCGUGUAGGCGGAUCGGUAAGUCUACUCUGAAAGCUCCUGGCUAAACUGGGAGAGGCGAGUGGAGACUGUCGGUCUAGAGUGAGGAAGAGGAAAGUGGAAUUCCGCGUGUAGUGGUGAAAUGCGUAGAGAUGUGGAGGAAUACCGAUGGCGAAGGCAGC
rnacentral:rRNA from 1 species